rnacentral:rRNA from 1 species
GAUGAACGCUGGCGGCGUGCCUAACACAUGCAAGUCGAGCGAGAAUUCUUUAACUGAUUCUUCGGAUGAUUUUAAAGAGGGAAAGCGGCGGACGGGUGAGUAACGCGUAGGCAACCUGCCUCUCACAGAGGGAUAGCCGUUGGAAACGAUGAUUAAAACCUCAUAACGCCACUCUGGGACAUCCCGGAAUGGCCAAAGAUUUAUCGGUGAGAGAUGGGCCUGCGUCUGAUUAGCUAGUUGGUGGGGUAACGGCUCACCAAGGCGACGAUCAGUAGCCGACCUGAGAGGGUGAUCGGCCACAUUGGAACUGAGACACGGUCCAA